GUGGAAGAGUCCUGAAUUUAUCUGUAAAUCCCUAUCUAUCGGGUGUGAAGCACAACGGGAUCAGUUUUAUUUAACGAACAUUAUAGAUUCCUUAAUU
rnacentral:sRNA from 1 species